CCUCCAGAAAAAGACAUUUUAUCCUUUUAAAGUCAAUGCAAAACUGGUUUUGAAGGCAGUCUUUUUAGGAAGGAAAUUUUUUUAAACCCUGCCUACCUUUAUUGCUGCCAUCACAGAGCUCCCUUGAAAUGAAAAGGUUCAGCUGAGGUAAAUCUGAAACGCUUGAGUCUAGGGCAACAAUUCCAAAGCGUAAAAGGUGUGGAGAGAAGAAGGGGAGUGUUAGUUACCAACAGAUGGAACGAGAACCCAAGGAGGAGGAAGGGCAGGUUUAUUUUUCUCCUGUCUCAUUUUUCCUGCAUUCUCCAAAUUCAAUUAUUCCUGGCCUCAUCCAGGCUGCUGCGUUGAGAACAAACAACACAGGAGUAAGGCAAAAGCAAGAGACCACCAGACAGACGGUUCUCGCAGUAACCAAGCAAGGGAUGAUGGCGGCGUGAACCACAGGGAGAGCAGAGGAGAGCUCCAUGGAUCAUGUGACUAAGUUGUGGCCAAUAAAUAAUAUGUAAGGGGAAAUGUAGAUAGGACUUCUGGGAAAAGUGCUUGGACCUGAAAUGUGGACAUCAUGGCUGAAGCUUCACCAUGAGAUGAC
rnacentral:lncRNA from 1 species